rnacentral:rRNA from 1 species
CAGCCUACGGGGGGCAGCAGUGGGGAAUAUUGGGCAAUGGGCGCAAGCCUGACCCAGCAACGCCGCGUGAAGGAAGAAGGCUUUCGGGUUGUAAACUUCUUUUGUCAGGGACGAAGCAAGUGACGGUACCUGACGAAUAAGCCACGGCUAACUACGUGCCACCAGCCGCGGUAAUACGUAGGUGGCAAGCGUUAUCCGGACUUACUGGGUGUAAAGGGCGUGUAGGCGGGGGAGCAAGGCCGAUGUGAAAACCAAGGGCUCAACCUGUGGCCUGCAUUUGUAACUGUUUUUCUUGAGUACUGGAG